AUUGAACGCUGGCGGCAGGCCUAACACAUGCAAGUCGAACGCGUGGCGGAUGGGUGAGUAAUGUCUGGGAAUCUGCCUGAUGGAGAGGGAUAACUACUGGACACGGUAGCUAAUACCGCAUACCAUCAGAUGUGCCCAGAUGGGAUUAGCUUGUUGGGGGGGUAACGGCUCACCAAGGCGACGAUCCCUAGCUGGUCUGAGAGGAUGACCAGCCACACUGGAACUGAGACACGGGCCAGACUCCUACGGGAGGCAGCAGUGGGGAAUAUUGCACAAUGGGCGCAAGCCUGAUACAGCCAUGCCGCGUGUAUGAAGAAGGCCUUCGGGUUGGAAAGUACUUUCAGCGGGGAGUCGUUACCUGCAGAAGAAGCACCUGAUAACUCUGUGCCAGACGCCGCGGUAAUUC
rnacentral:rRNA from 1 species